rnacentral:rRNA from 1 species
UGCUCCGAUUGAUGAGUCCACACUUGAUUAGUUAGUUGGUGAGGUAAUAGCUCACCAAGACAAUGAUCAAUAGCUGAUUUGAGAGGAUGAUCAGCCACAUUGGGACUGAGACACGGCCCAAACUCCUACGGGAGGCAGCAGUGGGGAAUAUUGGACAAUGGGGGUAACCCUGAUCCAGCAAUACCGCGUGUGUGAAGAAGGCCUGAGGGUUGUAAAGCACUUUCAAUUGUGAAGAAAAGUCAACGGUUAAUAACCGUUGACCUUGACGUUAACUUUAGAAGAAGCACCGGCUAACUCCGUGCCAGCAGCCGCGGUAAUACGGAGGGUGCAAGCGUUAAUCGGAAUUACUGGGCGUAAAGCGUGCGUAGGCGGUUUAUUAAGUCAGAUGUGAAAGCCCCGGGCUUAACCUGGGAACUGCAUUUGAAACUGGUCAACUAGAGUAUGGUAGAGGAAAGUGGAAUUUCUGGUGUAGCGGUGAAAUGCGUAGAUAUCAGAAGGAACAUCAAUGGCGAAGGCAGCUUUCUGGACCAAUACUGACGCUGAGGUACGAAAGCGUGGGUAGCAAACAGGAUUAGAUACCCUGGUAGUCCACGCCGUAAACGAUGAUAACUAGCCGUUGGGGGGAUUUACCCUUUAGUGGCGAAGCUAACGCGUUAAGUUAUCCGCCUGGGGAGUACGGCCGCAAGGCUAAAACUCAAAGGAAUUGACGGGGACCCGCACAAGCGGUGGAGCAUGUGGUUUAAUUCGAUGCAACGCGAAGAACCUUACCUGGUCUUGACAUCCUGCGAACUUUCUAGAAAUAGAUUGGUGCCUUCGGGAACGCAGUGACAGGUGCUGCAUGGCUGUCGUCAGCUCGUGUCGUGAGAUGUUGGGUUAAGUCCCGUAACGAGCGCAACCCCUAUCCUUAUUUGCCAGCACAUUAUGGUGGGAACUAUAAGGAGACUGCCGGUGAUAAACCGGAGGAAGGCGGGGACGACGUCAAGUCAUCAUGGCCCUUACGACCAGGGCUACACACGUGCUACAAUGGGAAGGACAAAGAGCCGCGAAGCCGCGAGGUGUAGCUAAUCUCAUAAAUCUUUUCGUAGUCCGGAUUGGAGUCUGCAACUCGACUCCAUGAAGUCGGAAUCGCUAGUAAUCGUAGAUCAGAAUGCUACGGUGAAUACGUUCCCGGGUCUUGUACACACCGCCCGUCAUACCAUGGGAGUGGGUUGCACCAGAAGUGGCUAGUCUAACUUUGUGAGGACGGUCACCACGGUGUGAUUCAUGACUGGGGUAAAGUCGUAACAAGGUAACC